UACGUAGGGGGCUAGCGUUGUCCGGAUUUAUUGGGCGUAAAGAGCUCGUAGGUGGUUUGUCGCGUUGUUCGUGAAAACUCACAGCUUAACUGUGGGCGUGCGGGCGAUACGGGCAGACUGGAGUACUGCAGGGGAGACUGGAAUUCCUGGUGUAGCGGUGGAAUGCGCAGAUAUCAGGAGGAACACCGGUGGCGAAGGCGGGUCUCUGGGCAGUAACUGACGCUGAGGAGCGAAAGCGUGGGGAGCGAACAGG
rnacentral:rRNA from 1 species